AAACACUUGAAGCUCCAAUUUGAGUUUUUCUCGUGCCAGAUUGCAGCUUUACAGUGUUUCC
ensembl:miRNA ipu-mir-7572 ipu-mir-7572